GAAGACUACCGAAAAAAAGGUGGAUAAUCUUUCUACAUUGUUCAUCAUAAUUUCCGACAAAUGACAUAAAUACUCUCUCUUUUUUUGUAAUCGAACUACGUUUUGGCUUGAUCCCGCUUUGGAUAUGUAAAUAAUAAUGAGCCUCCUAAGUCUAGCUAUUAAUAAUAAUUAUAUGGGUGAUUUACCAUAUAAGUAACUUUUAAGUUGAGAUAUACAGACAAGGUAAGUAUAUCAGCUUCUCAACAUCUAACAACUGUUUCCUCCAAAAAGACAAAAGUAGCCCUGCAAACAAGAAAGAAAUAAUUAACUUUUGAUUGAUCACACUUACAAUCAAAGUUUUGCCUUCCAUCUUUCGAUUGAUCAGUUGUUUGAUGGCAAAUAUAUAUAUGUGGCGAGUUAUAAGCUUGAAUUGAUGAAUUGGUGAUGAAACAAGGCUCCCUUAAAUACUAGUUGGGCUACGAUUGGUAACCACACAAAAUUGGUUUGAUAUGUUUAUCACAUGCAUGCUCUAUAGACUGUCUGUACACGCUGCAUGGACCAACCUUAUAUUAUCUUAAUGACAAUAUUAUUCAGACAGACUAAGGAUAAUUUUAAUCAUCUUGUUCUUGCUAACCGUGUAAUUAUUAUGUACGCUCUCUUCUUAUAAUUUGGUUUAUAACUAUAUUAUGUCUAUAAAGUUAGUAUAUAACUUCUCGGGGUAAAAUUUUUGAACAAAGGAUUAAGAAGAUUAGUAUGAGUAGUGUGAAGAAGCAACGAAAAGAAACGUAGUUUGUUAGAACGUGUUUUGUGUUACGUAAUUAAUUUUUUUUUACCAAUUCUCUUGUGGUUUUAGCUAAGAGCUCCUGAAAUUGGUUUGAGUAAAAAAGAUCAAGACACAAUUACCAUUUAUUUAAAGUAUACGAUAUAAAAGGCAG
rnacentral:lncRNA from 1 species